CGAGUCUUAACCGGGCGUUAAGUUGCAGGGUAUAGACCCGAAACCCGGUGAUCUAGCCAUGGGCAGGUUGAAGGUUGGGUAACACUAACUGGAGGACCGAACCGACUAAUGUUGAAAAAUUAGCGGAUGACCUGUGGCUGGGGGUGAAAGGCCAAUCAAACCGGGAGAUAGCUGGUUCUCCCCGAAAGCUAUUUAGGUAGCGCCUCGUGAAUUCAUCUCCGGGGGUAGAGCACUGUUUCGGCUAGGGGGCCAUCCCGGCUUACCAACCCGAUGCAAACUGCGAAUACCGGAGAAUGUUAUCACGGGAGACACACGGCGGGUGCUAACGUCCGUCGUGAAGAGGGAAACAACCCAGACCGCCAGCUAAGGUCCCAAAGUCAUGGUUAAGUGGGAAACGAUGUGGGAAGGCCCAGACAGCCAGGAUGUUGGCUUAGAAGCAGCCAUCAUUUAAAGAAAGCGUAAUAGCUCACUGGUCGAGUCGGCCUGCGCGGAAGAUGUAACGGGGCUAAACCAUGCACCGAAGCUGCGGCAGCGACGCUGAUGCGUUGUUGGGUAGGGGAGCGUUCUGUAAGCCUGUGAAGGUGGCCUGUGAGGGUUGCUGGAGGUAUCAGAAGUGCGAAUGCUGACAUAAGUAACGAUAAAGCGGGUGAAAAGCCCGCUCGCCGGAAGACCAAGGGUUCCUGUCCAACGUUAAUCGGGGCAGGGUGAGUCGACCCCUAAGGCGAGGCCGAAAGGCGUAGUCGAUGGGAAACGGGUUAAUAUUCCCGUACUUGGUGUUACUGCGAAGGGGGGACGGAGAAGGCUAUGUUGGCCGGGCGACGGUUGUCCCGGUUUAAGCGUGUAGGUGUGUGUUCCAGGUAAAUCCGGUUCACUUUAACACUGAGGCGUGAUGACGAGGCACUACGGUGCUGAAGCAACAA
rnacentral:rRNA from 1 species